CCCAGCUGUAGGUAGCUGCCUAGGUUCCCUUAUGCCUAAGCCAGUGUUACACUGCCGGGGGAACAGCAGCCAAUAGCUGGUUGGCAUUCUGGACCUGGUUCAUGCCAACUCUGUUGUUAACCAUU
rnacentral:snoRNA from 1 species